rnacentral:rRNA from 1 species
GUGCGAAAGCAUGGGUAGCGAAGAGGAUUAGAUACCCUCGUAGUCCAUGCCGUAAACGAUGUGUGCUAGACGUUGGAAAUUUAUUUUUCAGUGUCGCAGCGAAAGCGUUAAGCACACCGCCUGGGGAGUACGACCGCAAGGUUAAAACUCAAAUGAAUUGACGGGGACCCGCACAAGUAGUGGAGCAUGUGGUUUAAUUCGAAGAUACGCGCAGAACCUUACCAACACUUGACAUGUUCGUCGCGACUCUAAGAGAUUAGAGUUUUCGGUUCGGCCGGACGAAACACAGGUGCUGCAUGGCUGUCGUCAGCUCGUGUCGUGAGAUGUUGGGUUAAGUCCCGCAACGAGCGCAACCCUUACUUUUAGUUGCUACCAUUCAGUUGGGCACUCUAAAAGAACUGCCGGUGAUAAGCUGGAGGAAGGUGGGGAUGACGUCAAGUCCUCAUGGCCCUUAUGUGUUGGGCUACACACGUGCUACAAUGGUAUUUACAGUGGGAUGCAAAGAGGCAACUCCAAGCCAACCCCCAAAGAAUACCUCAGUUCGGAUUGUACUCUGCAACUCGAGUACAUGAAGCUGGAAUUACUAGUAAUCGCGGAUCAGCGCGCCGCGGUGAAUACGUUCCCGGGUCUUGCACACACUGCCCGUC